GAUUCCUGAUGAGGACACUUUUGUAAUAACUUUUUGUAGCUUUCCCAUGCUUCAUACAAGGACUCAUCAUCCAUUUGUUGGAAGGCAGUGAUCUCAUUCCUCAACUU
rfam:Gossypium raimondii Chr10_contig_598, whole genome shotgun sequence.